GGGAUUUGGGGUUUGGGGAUGGGGAAAACAGAGCCAGAGCCAGAGGAGAGAUCUGACCCUGGAGGAGAACCAGGUGUGGGGUGGGAUUUGGGGUUUGGGGAUGAGAAAACCAGAGCCAGAGCCAGGGCAGGGACCUCACCCUCGAGGAGAACCAGGUGAAGAAGUACCACCGGCUGAAGGAGGAGGCCAGCAAACGCGCCGCCACGCUGGCCCAGGAGCUCGAGAAGUUCAACCGCGACCAAAAGGCCGACCAGGACCGCCUGGACCUGGAGGAGAGGAAGAAAGUGGAGACUGAGGCCAAGAUCAAGCAGAAGCUGCGGGAGAUCGAGGAGAACCAGAAACGAAUCGAGAAACUCGAGGAGUACAUCGCCACCAGCAAGUGGGUGACCUGUCCCCACCGUGUCCCCAAGGGGGCUGGAGUGUCCCCAAGGGUCCUCAGRGUGUGCCCAAGGGGGCUGGA
rnacentral:lncRNA from 1 species